CCACCAGGUGGUUUUGCCAGGUAGCGUUCCAGCGAAGAAAGUUUCCUCACAGAGUCCUCUUCCAUGGAGUUUUACAGCUCGAUAAGACAGGCACUCUCAGAUAUUCUUUAGUGA
rnacentral:miRNA from 14 species